rnacentral:lncRNA from 1 species
CAUCCUUUACAUUCUUCCAAAUAUAUAAGUACAAUCACUCGAACCUCACCCUAUACAUCAUCUACUCUCCAAUACCAAAAGGGGUGAUAGCUAAUACAAAAGGGAGGUAGCUAAUGCGACUAGAACGCCGGGCCCUUACCGCGAUCCUCCCGCUCACCAGGGACACCCGAACUCGAACCUGUAGUAAAAAUGGGGGUGAGAACUAACUUCCUUAGUUCCCAGUGGGUUCGGCCGCCGACUCCGCCGAUCUCCCCACUAGGUCCAAGCGGGCACAAGUAGAUAUACCAAUAGAUGGAUAGACAGAUAGAUAUAUAGAUAAGGAGCUGUAAAUGACGGAAAUGAAGCUAUUCUACUAUGCCCAAUCAUAAAUGUAUGAAUGCAUGUCCAAUGAAUUGGUAAGCAACUAACCUGUCAUCAUGUCCAAAGGUGAAGCUAUUCACUCGUUCAAUAACAUCAUUUACUUGUUCAUUAAUCUCAUGGCUUACCCGAAGGCUCGCCUACAGCUCACUAGCCAUCUCGACACGUAGGGAGAAUCAACUCACACUACGGACCCGAGACCGUCUGGCGGGGCCAUAUAGGCAAUCCCUGGCGUGACCAACAUCCGGAGCGCACUACUUGUGUGGGGCUUCCAUCACAAGAUUUAACAGACCGUGAGCAUGAUCCAAUCCUCUAAGCUCGAGGAUACCCUGUCCUCUAGAGUCACAAUCAUCAUAUAGUCCAUAGGUGUCACAUACACUAUUAACUAGAUUGUCCGUUUGUUCGCUAUCGACUAGAUGCCACUCGUUCAUGGUUUACUAUUGACUAGAUGCCACUCGUUCUUUGUUCAUCAUUAGACUAGCCAUUGAGCCCAUCAUUUUCUCUACACUAUAGGAUUCACAAGACUCGACCCAAUCCUCACCAAUCCUCUAUAUCAAGUAUCCAAUACAUGCUACGAUAUCAUCAAGGAAGGCAUAAGGAAAGGCAAUGCACAAUAAUCCUAUAAUGCAAUAAUACAAGAUGCAGAAUCGAAAUGUACUAAGACAUAGAAGGGAGCCCGAUUGCUUCGGGAUGGACACCACCCACCUCUUGGCGAUGCCGCGAUAGUAGAAAGCUCGACGUUGCGGUUCUUGCACGCCGCUUAAACUCCUCGGGGCAAAGCGAGCCCUCGAGUACCCGAUUCGGCGAUAACUCCGCACCCGCUCGUCGGAUCGGCAAACCGUCUUCGCCGACGCGUUCAGAGACCUAGCAAUUAGGUUAGCGACCCAACAAAUUAGAUCAAAACCCUAGAUUUGCCAAAAUCCCAAUUCUAAACCCUAGGUCUCAACAACGGAGAAAUCCGUGGUGCGAGCUUCGAUUUCGAGCUCGAACCUUCUAUUUAUCCCCAAUAGGUUCCAUUUGAACCAAUUCUAAACCAUAAAAACCCAGAACCCUAGAAUUUCCAUUAAAGGGUUGGAAGCUUACCUCUAACCUAAGCUCCAAGCUUGAGGGAGAGGGAGAGAAGAUGACUUUCCUCUUCUUCUUAGUCUUCUCCUUCUCUUUCUUCUUCUUUCUUCCCUUCUUCUCCUUCCUCUUCUUCUUCUCCUUCUUCUCUUUCUUUUCUUUUCUUUU